UAAAAAAAGGUAAGCUACUAAGAGCGAAUGGUGGAUGCCUUGACUGGUAAAGGCGAUGAAGGACGUACUAGACUGCGAUAAGCUACGGGGAGCUGUCAAGAAGCUUUGAUCCGUAGAUUUCCGAAUGGGGCAACCCAAUGUAUAGAGAUAUACAUUACCUAUAUAGGAGCGAACGAGGGGAAUUGAAACAUCUUAGUACCCUCAGGAAAAGAAAUCAAUAGAGAUUGCGUCAGUAGCGGCGAGCGAAAGCGCAAGAGGGCAAACCCAGUGCUUGCACUGGGGGUUGUAGGACUGCAAUGUGCAAGAGCUGAGUUUAGCAGAACAUUCUGGAAAGUAUAGCCAUAGAGGGUGAUAGUCCCGUAUGCGAAAAACAAAGCUUAGCUAGCAGUAUCCUGAGUAGGGCGGGACACGAGGAAUCCUGUCUGAAUCCGGGUCGACCACGAUCCAACCCUAAAUACUAAUACCAGAUCGAUAGUGCACAAGUACCGUGAGGGAAAGGUGAAAAGAACUGAGGUGAUCAGAGUGAAAUAGAACCUGAAACCAUUUGCUUACAAUCAUUCAGAGCACUAUGUAGCAAUACAGUGUGAUGGACUGCCUUUUGCAUAAUGAGCCUGCGAGUUGUGGUGUCUGGCAAGGUUAAGCAAACGCGAAGCCGUAGCGAAAGCGAGUCUGAAUAGGGCGCUUAGUCAGAUGCUGCAGACCCGAAACGAAGUGAUCUAUCCAUGAGCAAGUUGAAGCUAGUGUAAGAACUAGUGGAGGACUGAACCCAUAGGCGUUGAAAAGCCCCGGGAUGACUUGUGGAUAGGGGUGAAAGGCCAAUCAAACUUCGUGAUAGCUGGUUCUCUCCGAAAUAUAUUUAGGUAUAGCGUUGUGUCGUAAUAUAAGGGGGUAGAGCACUGAAUGGGCUAGGGCAUACACCAAUGUACCAAACCCUAUCAAACUCCGAAUACCUUAUAUGUAAUCACAGCAGUCAGGCGGCGAGUGAUAAAAUCCGUCGUCAAGAGGGAAACAACCCAGACUACCAGCUAAGGUCCCUAAAUCUUACUUAAGUGGAAAACGAUGUGAAGUUACUUAAACAACCAGGAGGUUGGCUUAGAAGCAGCCAUCCUUUAAAGAAAGCGUAAUAGCUCACUGGUCUAGUGAUUUUGCGCGGAAAAUAUAACGGGGCUAAAGUAAGUACCGAAGCUGUAGACUUGCACACAACUUAGAUUAUUUAAGUUUAGAAUAUGAGAAACUAAGUUAUGUUUAGUUAUAUUUUUACUGAUUUUUAUAGAGUAAAGAUAGAAAUAAAACUUAGUAAAAUCAGUAAAAAUAUUCUUAGGCUAAAGUUAAGUAGUUUAAGUUGUGUGCAAGUGGUAGGAGAGCGUUCUAUUUGCGUCGAAGGUAUACCGGUAAGGAGUGCUGGAGCGAAUAGAAGUGAGCAUGCAGGCAUGAGUAGCGAUAAUUAAUGUGAGAAUCAUUAACGCCGUAAACCCAAGGUUUCCUACGCGAUGCUCGUCAUCGUAGGGUUAGUCGGGUCCUAAGUCGAGUCCGAAAGGGGUAGACGAUGGCAAAUUGGUUAAUAUUCCAAUACCAACAUUAGUGUGCGAUGGAAGGACGCUUAGGGCUAAGGGGGCUAGCGGAUGGAAGUGCUAGUCUAAGGUCGUAGGAGGUUAUACAGGCAAAUCCGUAUAACAAUACUCCGAGAACUGAAAGGCUUUUUGAAGUCUUCGGAUGGAUAGAAGAACCCCUGAUGCCGUCGAGCCAAGAAAAGUUUCUAAGUUUAGCUAAUGUUGCCCGUACCGUAAACCGACACAGGUGGGUGGGAUGAGUAUUCUAAGGCGCGUGGAAGAACUCUCUUUAAGGAACUCUGCAAAAUAGCACCGUAUCUUCGGUAUAAGGUGUGGUUAGCUUCGUACUAGGAUUUACUCCGAAAGCGAAGAAACUUACAACAAAGAGUCCCUCCCGACUGUUUACCAAAAACACAGCACUCUGCUAACUCGUAAGAGGAUGUAUAGGGUGUGACGCCUGCCCGGUGCUCGAAGGUUAAUUGAUGGGGUUAGCAUUAGCGAAGCUCUUGAUCGAAGCCCGAGUAAACGGCGGCCGUAACUAUAACGGUCCUAAGGUAGCGAAAUUCCUUGUCGGUUAAAUACCGACCUGCAUGAAUGGCGUAACGAGAUGGGAGCUGUCUCAAAGAGGGAUCCAGUGAAAUUGUAGUGGAGGUGAAAAUUCCUCCUACCCGCGGCAAGACGGAAAGACCCCGUGGACCUUUACUACAGCUUGACACUGCUACUUGGAUAAGAAUGUGCAGGAUAGGUGGGAGGCUUUGAGUAUAUGACGCCAGUUGUAUAUGAGCCAUUGUUGAGAUACCACUCUUUCUUAUUUGGGUAGCUAACCAGCUUGAGUUAUCCUCAAGUGGGACAAUGUCUGGUGGGUAGUUUGACUGGGGCGGUCGCCUCCCAAAUAAUAACGGAGGCUUACAAAGGUUGGCUCAGAACGGUUGGAAAUCGUUCGUAGAGUAUAAAGGUAUAAGCCAGCUUAACUGCAAGACAUACAAGUCAAGCAGAGACGAAAGUCGGUCUUAGUGAUCCGGUGGUUCUGUGUGGAAGGGCCAUCGCUCAAAGGAUAAAAGGUACCCCGGGGAUAACAGGCUGAUCUCCCCCAAGAGCUCACAUCGACGGGGAGGUUUGGCACCUCGAUGUCGGCUCAUCGCAUCCUGGGGCUGGAGCAGGUCCCAAGGGUAUGGCUGUUCGCCAUUUAAAGCGGUACGCGAGCUGGGUUCAGAACGUCGUGAGACAGUUCGGUCCCUAUCUGCCGUGGGCGUAAGAAGAUUGAAGAGAUUUGACCCUAGUACGAGAGGACCGGGUUGAACAAACCACUGGUGUAGCUGUUGUUCUGCCAAGAGCAUCGCAGCGUAGCUAAGUUUGGAAAGGAUAAACGCUGAAAGCAUCUAAGCGUGAAGCCAACUCUAAGAUGAAUCUUCUCUAAGCUCUCUAGAAGACUACUAGUUUGAUAGGCUGGGUGUGUAAUGGAUGAAAGUCCUUUAGCUGACCAGUACUAAUAGAGCGUUUGGCUUAUCUUUAAUAAAGCAU
rnacentral:rRNA from 1 species